GUUAAUGACCACAUUUUAAUUUAAUUUAUGAAAUAAAAAUAUUUUACAAUACUAAGUUUACAAGUAUACCCUUGAAGUAUUCAAGGGUUAUAAAGAAAACAAUAAUCUUACGGUCCUGAUGUCUCCAUUUUUUUCUCUCUUAUCUCCGACACCGACAAUAGGCAUUCACAAAUAUGGAAUUCUUCUCCUCUAUCUAGCUCCCUGCUACUGCCAUCUCGAUUCUUUAGAAUCUCCACUAUAUUUUUUUCUUUUUAAUUAAAUCCAUCCCUUGAACAUAUCAUGGUUCAGUUUACUCGGAUCAAAUGGUGAAGAAAACUACCGGCGUUACCACAUUUCGCCUUAUAUAUCCAUCUUCAAUUCCUAAUACCGGCAAUGUCAUAACCAUUUCUUUCAGGUGGAAUUUGGAAAGGUUAAUGGAGGAGACUAGCUAGGAUUAUAGUUUAUGGAUGGAUUAUGAUGAUGGGAAGGUGACAGUGGUGGGGGAUAUGAUCAUGUUAUGCAAGAAGAAGAUGAUGGAGAUGGAGAUUGGGAUGGAUUUGUAUAGAUACUCUGUUGCUCAAAUUCUAACUGGGGAGAGGCGGGCGUGAGAAAAAGAGUGAAGAAGAAAGAGUUAGGUCUAGGGUAAUGGAAAAUGAAGGGGUAAGAUAGUAAAUUCUACUAACAAUUUUAUUUUAUUUUAUUUUUAAUAAAUUUAUAAACAGAAGUUAAAAUCUAAUUAAGUCGAUUUAAAUCAAUGUCCAGUUCAGGUACCAAGUUCUAACGUUGGACAAAUAUUAGACCAAAACCUAGUGUUGGUCAAAACCUGAGUACUAAACUCCAAUUAUCCCAAACUAUUUUGAGGAUACUCAAUAAAUACCAAAUGUCAGUCAAGGUUAACCGUUUUGGUCAAAAUUUCUACUGUUUGUGGUUAUUGAUUUAUCUUUCCUUUUGUGACGAGAAAGAGAAAAUUAGACGGGCUCUCACUACGAGAUUGACUGAUGAUCGGAAAAACAAGGAAGAUGAUAGACAAUCAGGUCUUGAGCACGGAUCAUGGUCGUUUAUCCAAGCAAAGAUAGAAGGAGGAAUCCAAGAUUCAUGCCAAAGGAUCGUAAAAUUUGCAUGGGCACAUAAAUCAAGCCGCACGAUAAUUACAAUCAAAAAAAAAUAUGAAGCUCCAAAUGCUAACAAGCAUGACCAAUUUUCAAGCAUAUUCCCCAAAUUGAAUCGAGUUAUUAUAGACGUUCAAAAUAUGCUGGUUUUCUAAAAUAGACGUUUCAAAAAAAUAGGCAGGUAUCCUAAUUGGGAAGGUACUAGGUUUCACUUUUACGGUUUUAACCUUCAUAAAAUCGUUUUUUCCUCCUCUACUAUUAUCACCGAAACAUCUUCACCGCCAUUACAAACCUCCUUCAGCUUCAUCUUCUCCCACACAAACCACCACCAGCAACACCAUCGCCACCAUUACAGCAAAGACCAUCAUCAUAACAGCAAACCCAAUGUUGUUCCUUAACCUAAUCAUAACAGCUACUCUUCUCAACGCUCCAUGUGAUUUUUCUUCCCCAUCGAUUUCAGCCUUCUCUUCUAUUUGCUUUUCUUCAAUUGCAUGCCAUAAAUUGACAUAUCCAUCUUUUCUUCUUUUUGCCUUCACCACCACCACUACCCACCACCACUAAUAACAAGCAACUCUGUUACGUGCAAUUGGAAUUGAAGUGAAAUUGAAGCGAAAUUGGAAAUUAGUAUGCAUUGAAAUCGGAGUGGUCUGCCACUGAUGCCUAUAACCUUCAUUAAAAUUUGUUGCUGCUUUUCGUUGAUGAACAAAUCGGAUUAGAAGAAAUCAGUAACUGAUGAGAAUUUUACGCCCACAAGUUGUUUGAAGAAAGUCCCGAAUGAGAAUUUCAUGUUAGAUUGUUCAAUUUUAGCUAAGACAAUAUUGGUGAAUACGAACUCGAAUGAGUUUCCUGGUUUACUAAUGGUGUUGAAUGGCAAAUCUUUGACGUCCAUCAGCAACUCUGAGCUGAAAUGUUACUUUGUUGGUAGUGGUUGUGUAAGUUACAGGAUAUGAAUGAGGUUAUGGAGUUAAUAAUGAUGUUGCUGAGUUUGGUGUUAUUUGAAUGGUAGUGAUUGAAAACUGAGCUAGUGGAGUUUCAAGUUGUGUUGCACUGUGUUGCAGAAUUUGGAAUUGGCAGAAUGGGUGGUAAGGAAAUGUUGUGGGUGAUAAUGGAUGGUAAGUUUGUAAUGCCAGUAGAUUCUUGUUGUUUCACUUUAGUCUUAAAAUGAUUAUUGCAUAAGUUUGUACUUGGGUCUAAUUACGUGUGCAAUGGAAAAUGAAUCAUUUCUAUAAUCUCUUGUAUUCCUUGAACGGCAAAAAGUUGUGCAGGAAGUGUUUUUAUUGAAAUGAGUUUU